AUUGAACGCUGGCGGCAGGCCUAACACAUGCAAGUCGAGCGACCGCCGGACGGGUGAUUAAUAUAGGUGUACUGCCCGAUGGAGGUGGAUAACUGCUGCAAACGGUAGAUAAUACUGCAUACUAUCGGAUAACCUAUGUGGGAUUAGCUAGUAGGUGGGGUAACGGCCCACCGAGGCGACGAUCCCUAGUCGGUCUGAGAGGAUGAUCAGCCACACUGGGACUGAGACACGGUCCAGACUCCUACGGAGGCAGCAGUGGGGAAUAUUGCACAAUGGGCGCAAGCCUGAUGCAGCCAUGCCGCGUGUAUGAAGAAGGCCCUAGGGUUGUAAAGUACUUUAAGUCGGGAGGCGUUACCGACAGAAGAAGCACCGGCUAACUCCGUGCCAGCCGCCGCGGUAAUAC
rnacentral:rRNA from 1 species